GAGUGGUAGUUCAGUUGGUUAGAAUAUCGGCCUGUCACGCCGGGGGUCGCGGGUUCGAGUCCCGUCCACUCC
rnacentral:tRNA from 3 species